rnacentral:rRNA from 1 species
UUCCGUAGGGGAACCUGCGGAGGGAUCAUUAACGAGUUCCAUUCUCCUUAAUACACCCGUGAACGUUUCUUCAACUGUUCGUUGCUUCGGCGGGCGGCCCCGGGGAGGGGCCGCAGCCCGCAAGGGCGCCCGCCGGCGGCAGCGCAGCACAACUCUUGCGAUUUAGGCCCCUCUGAGAAGACACUAAAUGAGUCAAAACUUUCAACAACGGAUCUCUUGGUUCUGGCAUCGAUGAAGAACGCAGCGAAAUGCGAUAAGUAAUGUGAAUUGCAGAACUCAGCGAAUCAUCGAAUCUUUGAACGCACAUUGCGCCCGCCGGCAUUCCGGCGGGCAUGCCUGUUCGAGCGUCAUUUCAACCCUCGAGCCCUGCUCGGUGUUGGGGCCCCGCGGCCGCCGCGGGCCCUGAAAAGAAGUGGCGGGCGCGCCUGGACCCGUAGCGCAGUAAUACACCUCGCUCGCGGCGUCCCGGCGCGUGCCGGCCGUAAAACCCCUUUAUCUCAAGGUGACCUCGGAUCAGG